AUUGAACGCUGGCGGCAUGCUUUACACAUGCAAGUCGAACGGUAACAGGCCGCAAGGUGCUGACGAGUGGCGAACGGGUGAGUAAUGCAUCGGAACGUGCCCAGUCGUGGGGGAUAACUACUCGAAAGAGUAGCUAAUACCGCAUACGAUCUAUGGAUGAAAGCGGGGGACCGUAAGGCCUCGCGCGAUUGGAGCGGCCGAUGUCAGAUUAGGUAGUUGGUGGGGUAAAGGCUCACCAAGCCAACGAUCUGUAGCUGGUCUGAGAGGACAACCAGCCACACUGGGACUGAGACACGGCCCAGACUCCUACGGGAGGCAGCAGUGGGGAAUUUUGGACAAUGGGCGCAAGCCUGAUCCAGCAAUGCCGCGUGCAGGAAGAAGGCCUUCUGGUUGUAAACUGCUUUUGUACGGAACGAAACGGCUCUGGUUAAUACCCGGGGCUAAUGACGGUACCGUAAGAAUAAGCACCGGCUAACUACGUG
rnacentral:rRNA from 1 species